CAGUGAACCAAAGAAUACGCAUCUCCCUGGAACUGGGAAUGGUGUUCGCACACAUGCAGCGCUAAUGGGAAAGAAAAGUGCUUUUUUACAAGCUUAUAUAAUUGGGACAUAUAUAGCUCCUUCGCUCUUUUUUCCUCUGCACGUCGGAGCUCCUCUUCUUCCCUCUGCCUCUCCUCUUCCUCUGUGUCACAGACAACUGGGAUUAAUAUGCUGCAUAUUCUGCCAUGUUCAACUCAUACAAGUCCUGUUUCUCAUCUUGCCUGUCAGCGGUAAUUUUAUUGAUGAACCCAUCUAAGAUAAUAAAGGGAUAGAAUCUAUCUGAUCUGUACUUCAGUUAAAAGUAUCAAUUUACACAAAACAUUCAUUUGAUGAUCACACUACUCAAAAGUAACUUACUUGACUCCAUGAAAAACUAAUGCUAAUAUUGUCAGCACAGUGACAAGCAAAAAUGAUCCAAAUCUCUGUUGUUAUUUCCACUUGUAGCAUGAGAGCAUUAUUGGAAAUUCCUGCUGGGCGUGAUUUCUGUUUAGACGUUUCUCUCAUUGCUUGAGAGC